rnacentral:pre_miRNA from 1 species
UUUGUACUCCCUCCAUCCUAAAGUUAUUGUCUUAGAUUUGUCUUAAUAUGGAUGUAUCUAGUCACGUUUUAGUGUUAGAUACAUCCAUAUCUAAACAAAUCUUAGACAAGAAUUUGGGGCACAUU